rnacentral:rRNA from 1 species
CAUGGAGACAAGUAGUUGAUGCCACCAGGCCUGAUUGUCAGAUUUCAGUAGCUAAGCAAGGUCAGGCCUGGUUAGUACUUGGAUGGGAGACUGCUGGGAAUACCAGGUGCCACAGUGG